GUCUAUGGCCAUGCUACCCUGAACAAGCCCGAUCCCAUCUGAUCUCAGAAGCUAAGCAGGGUUGGGCCUGGUUAGUACAUGGACGGGAGACCGCCUAGGAAGACCAGGUGCUCUAGGCG
rnacentral:rRNA from 1 species